GCACAAGCAGCGGAGCGUGUGGUUUAAUUCGUUGCUACACGAAGAACCUUACCUGGGUUUGACAUAUAGGUUGUAGGGAACUGAAAGGGACCGACCCUUCGGGGAGCCUAUACAGGUGUUGCAUGGCUGUCGUCAGCUCGUGUCGUGAGAUGUUCGGUUAAGUCCGCUAACGAGCGCAACCCUCGUCGUAUGUUAUAUGUGUCAUACGAGACUGCCGGUAAAAGCCGGAGGAAGGUGAGGAUGAUGUCAAGUCAGCAUGACCUUUAUAUCCAGGGCUACACACACGCUACAAUGGUCUGUACAAUGGGUAGCCAAGCCGCGAGGCGGAGCCAAUCCUGAAAGCAGGCCUCAGUUCAGAUUGCAGUCUGCAACUCGACUGCAUGAAGCCGGAGUUGCUAGUAACCGCAGGUCAGCAAUACUGCGGUGAAUACGUUCCCGGGUCUU
rnacentral:rRNA from 1 species